rnacentral:pre_miRNA from 7 species
AGUUAGGCUGUAAGACCCCCUUUCGGGGACCCCCACUCUAGUCUCAGGAGAGAGAGCACACCCAAAGAAACACGAGAAUCC